rfam:Pseudocohnilembus persalinus scaffold1202, whole genome shotgun sequence.
GUGCCUGUAGUAUAGUGGUUAGUAUAAAAGUUUGUGGCACUUUAGACCCGAGCUCGAUUCUCGGCAGGCACA